CUCAAACGAUGCUUUGACAUGCAUGAGUUGCUCUCUCCUAUGUUGCACCUUAAGGAUUGAAUUACUUUUGGCUGACUGGGAAGACUCUCUGAGGUCCAUGAUUUUUGCUUGGUUUUCACAGGAAUUCUAGCUAUCAAGACUUGGAAAGAAAUUGAUGAGUACGUACUGGUUUCACAAGCUCAUGAGGAAACGACGGUAAGAAAGCAACCUCAUAGCUUGAUGUUGAGGUACCCAACUAGGAAAAUUGGGGUACAAUUGAUGGAGGUCAUUGCAAUUCUAUGCUUGGACGUAUAUGUGCUCUUCAAGAAAAGUCUACAGCCAACUACAGCUACUUGAAUCUAGAUUGUAGUCCCUUAUACGAAGAACAUCAAAAAUUUCACAGCUUCUCUCUUUCUAACAAACUUGGCAAUGUAAUAGUGUAACUUUGUUCCGCACAAUAUGAAACAUAUUAUCUUUA